AUGUAUAAUCUCACAGGAUUAAUACCAUAUACUAACUAUACUAUGAGUAUAAUACCUUAUAAUUAUAAUAUGAAUGGACCAGCUAGACAAGAAAUGCAAUUAACUGCUGAAUCAAUUCCUGGUGUGAUAACUGAUUUAAGACAUG